rnacentral:rRNA from 1 species
GACGAACCGUCCAAACGUUAUUCGGAAUUACUGGGCUUAAAGGGUGCGUAGGCGGCUCUGCAAGUUGGGUGUGAAAUCCCACGGCUCAACCGUGGAAUUGCGCUCAAAACUGCAGGGCUUGAGGGAGACAGAGGUGAGCGGAACUUAUGGUGGAGCGGUGAAAUGCGUUGAUAUCAUAAGGAACACCGGUGGCGAAAGCGGCUCACUGGGUCUCUUCUGACGCUGAGGCACGAAAGCUAGGGUAGCGAACGGG